rnacentral:rRNA from 1 species
AGGACGAACGCUGGCGGCGUGCCUAAUACAUGCAAGUCGAACGGUCUUUCUAUGGAAGCUUGCUUCCACUGAGAAGAUAGUGGCGAACGGGUGAGUAACACGUGGGUAAUCUGCCCAUAAGAGGGGGGAUAACAUCCGGAAACGGGUGCUAAUACCGCAUAGUUUUCUUGAUCGCAUGAUCGGGAAAGGAAAGACGGCCUUUGUGCUGUCGCUUAUGGAUGGACCCGCGGCGUAUUAGUUAGUUGGUGAGGUAACGGCUCACCAAGACGAUGAUACGUAGCCGACCUGAGAGGGUGAUCGGCCACAUUGGGACUGAGACACGGCCCAAACUCCUACGGGAGGCAGCAGUAGGGAAUCUUCCGCAAUGGACGAAAGUCUGACGGAGCAACGCCGCGUGAGUGAAAGAAGGUUUUCGGAUCGUAAAACUCUGUUGUCAGAGAAGAACAAGUCGGAGAGUAACUGCUCCGGCCUUGACGGUAUCUGACCAGAAAGCCACGGCUAACUACGUGCCAGCAGCGGC